rnacentral:rRNA from 1 species
CACCAGCCCCUCGAGUGGUGGGGAUGAUUAUUUGGCCUAAAGCGUCCGUAGCCGGCCGGGUAAGUUUCCCGUUAAAUCCAGCGUCUCAAGCGUUGGACUGCGGGAAAUACUGCCUGGCUAGAGAGUGGGAGAGGUCAGCGGUAUUCUGGGGGUAGGGGCGAAAUCCUUUGAUCCCCGGAGGACCACCAGUGGCGAAGGCUGCUGACUAGAACACGUCUGACGGUCAGGGACGAAAGCUGGGGUAGCGAACCGGAUUAGAUACCCGGGUAGUCCCAGCCGUAAACGAUGCAUGCUAGGUGUUGGGUUGGCCACGAGCCACCCCAGUGCCGCAGGGAAGCCGUUAAGUUUGCCGCCUGGGAAGUACGUACGCAAGUAUGAAACUUAAGGAAUUGGCGGGGAGCACCACAAGGGGUGAAGCCUGCGGUUC